rnacentral:lncRNA from 1 species
CAUACUAUUAUGAUAAUAUUGAUACUAGGCAAGGCCGGAGGAUACUAUUGUGAUGGUAUUGAUACUCGACAAGGCUGGAGGAUACUAUUGUGAUGAUAUUGAUAUCCGGCAAGGACAAAGGAUACUCUUGUGAUGAUACUGAUACCCAGCAAGGUCUGAGGACAUUAUUGUGAUGAUAUUGAUACUUGAAAAGGCCAGAGAAUGCUAAUGUGAUGAUAUUGAUACUCG